UCUACGACUACUCACGUCUAUGUUGUUGUUGCCUUCUUAUGUUUACCAUUCUUUGGCUCAGGAUACUUUGCUGGUCGAUCGGUGUGCCGCCGAUUUGUGUAUUAUCCUCCCCGGCACCACCCCUGUUGUACACACUCCCCCACUCCCCCCCCCCCGAUCGCCAUCUGAUGCUGGCUGCUGACCGUGCUUCUCGUGCUGCAGCUGCUGCUGUGCUGAUGAAUCCGAUUGCUCGCGCGCGCAUUCCCUCUUGUCCCUCAGGCACAACGAUUUCUGCGUUUGUCUCGCAAUACCCAUGGGUGCACCUGCUUGUGCUGGGCCUUGGUGCAACUGCCGUUUGAGAAUGAGAAGGACGCGUGGCCUCUACUCGUUCAGCCUCUUCCAUUUCUCCCUGUGUGCGCCUGUAUCGGAUUUGCCCAUGUGCCUUUCUCUAGACGGCGGUUGGGCUGUGGGUAGGCCAAAGGUGCUGGAGGAGGGGGAGAGACACCGGAGCGAACCGGGGUGCCUUCUUCCACGGGGGUAUUCUGUGCGGGCCUCUCUAUGAGCGUGGCGGAGCGAGCAGACAUUCUGCAUUAGCCGGGGGCGAGGCGGGGUGCAAGAUAUCUCUCUCUCUGUGUGGGUGCGGGUGUGCGAGGUCUCUGAGAGGAGAGAGAGGGUGGUGGUGGUGGGGAAUGAAACAGGCGCACGGCUCAUUACGUCAGUCACACACACACACACACAUCUUUUUCUUUCUGUUUUGUUCUCCAUCGCGUAUCCCCGUUUUUCUUUUGUUCCGUCGCGUUGGCUCUGUGACGAGUGGGUGCCACCGUGGCCACAGGCCCGUCUUCUUGCAAACGGGUAUUAUGAGCGAUACGGCAGCAGAGGGCCCUGCGUGAUUUUGGGGCGCGUGCGCGUCAGCGAAGCCGUUUUCGAUCCUUCCUGCGACUAUGUGUGGUACGCCUGCUGCGAGCUCUUAUCCAUCCGUAAUACCCCCCUCCUCUACGUCUGUUUUGCCGUGCCACUGUAACUGCCUGCGCACCGUGUGUGCCUGCCGAGGAGUGCAUCUGAUUGCGUUGGCGUGUUUGUCCCGCCUAUUCACACUCCACUGCCCUCCCCCCAACCCACCCAAUCGCUAUGACGACGACGACAACUAACCCCGCUGAAAGAAAGGGGGAAGAGAGCGUUGUCUCUUCUUGCACUGUUCACGUUUGUUUUUGGUGUGCGCUCUCUCCGUUCCUGUACGCACAUACGCAGGAAAAGAGUAUUUGCUUGCCUGAGCGUGUGCUUGUCAGCCGCUGCGUGGCUCUGCCGUUGUCGUUGUCGUGCCGUUGUGCCGUUGUGCCGUUGUGUCUGUGCUGUCUUCUUCAUGGGUUGGCACCCGUCUCCCUCUUUGUCCAUUUCUCUCUCUCUCUCCCCCCACCUUUGAGC
rnacentral:misc_RNA from 1 species